rnacentral:siRNA from 1 species
UCGUGUCUUGUGAUCUCCCAUGUC